rnacentral:rRNA from 1 species
AUGAACGCUGGCGGCGUGCCUAAUACAUGCAAGUCGAGCGAACAGACGAGGAGCUUGCUCCUCUGACGUUAGCGGCGGACGGGUGAGUAACACGUGGAUAACCUACCUAUAAGACUGGGAUAACUUCGGGAAACCGGAGCUAAUACCGGAUAAUAUAUUGAACCGCAUGGUUCAAUAGUGAAAGACGGUUUUGCUGUCACUUAUAGAUGGAUCCGCGCCGCAUUAGCUAGUUGGUAAGGUAACGGCUUACCAAGGCGACGAUGCGUAGCCGACCUGAGAGGGUGAUCGGCCACACUGGAACUGAGACACGGUCCAGACUCCUACGGGAGGCAGCAGUAGGGAAUCUUCCGCAAUGGGCGAAAGCUUGACGGAGCAACGCGGCGUGAGUGAUGAAGGUCUUCGGAUCGUAAAACUCUGUUAUUAGGGAAGAACAAAUGUGUAAGUAACUAUGCACGUCUUGACGGUACCUAAUCAGAAAGCCACGGCUAACUACGUG